UACGUAGGUGGCAAGCGUUGUCCGGAUUUACUGGGCGUAAAGAGCUCGUAGGCGGUCUGUCGCGUCGAUCGUGAAAACUUGGGGCUUAACCCUGAGCUUGCGGUCGAUACGGGCAUGACUGGAGUUCGGCAGGGGAGACUGGAAUUCCUGGUGUAGCGGUGAAAUGCGCAGAUAUCAGGAGGAACACCGGUGGCGAAGGCGGGUCUCUGGGCCGAUGACUGACGCUGAGGAGCGAAAGCGUGGGGAGCGAACAG
rnacentral:rRNA from 1 species